GCGGUAUUUACACAAUGAAAACUCUUUUACGUUCUCUCUCCCUCAUCGGGAGAAGGAACUUUAGGGCAUACUAAAAGCCCUAGCUCAACAUGUAAGUUCGUCGGCGGCGAUACUCCGAUGCAAAAAAGUUUUGCCGGUCGGCGGCGGCGAUGUUCUCUCGCGAGAUUUCUCGAGUUGAAUGCUUGGAGUUGCUGACAAUUCCAAAAAAUUAUUUGAUGUGUUCGACUGACACUACUAUGAAGCAUAACAAAUAGCAGCAACCUCCGCAUGAAUGUGUGUACUAGUCUCCAGCUGUAUGCUGUAAGACAUAACCAAAUCACCUUUAUCUUUGUAUUGGUGAAACAAAGACAUGACAUAUGGAACAUCAGUAAGCUGACAAGGCAUGACGCGUGGAGCGUCUAUAUAGCGACAAGUGGCACUCUCAAUUAAUUGAAUUAAGAAUGCAAGGAAGGUACGAGAAAAAUACCCACGGGGUAGCAUAGAGAAAAGAACCGGGCCUGACAGUUGUCAAAAGAGAAACGGGAACGAAAUGGAUGAAGGCUGCAAAGAAGGGAAGAUACAUGAAUCAGGAAUAAAUAAGGAAGGCGAAUCAGAGCAAUUAUGAGGAAUCUUUAGUCAUAAAUAUGCCAGUUAUGGUUAUCUAUGGUAACGGGCAAUCAAUACAAUUAAUGCCCUUAAUAACUCCAAAUUAAGUGUGAGAACCGUUAUGAUUAUAUGCUUCUAUAUAAGGAUAAGAAUUUCAUUUGUAAAUGGAGGUUACGAUUAUUACUGAAAUACAUACUAUUAUUCUUUGCUUACUCUA